rnacentral:rRNA from 1 species
UACGUAGGGGGCAAGCGUUGUCCGGAUUUAUUGGGCGUAAAGAGCGUGUAGGCGGCCAGGCAGGUCCGCUGUGAAAACUCGAGGCUCAACCUCGAGAGGUCGGUGGAAACCGUCUGGCUAGAGUCCGGAAGAGGAGAGUGGAAUUCCCGGUGUAGCGGUGAAAUGCGCAGAUAUCGGGAGGAACACCAGUGGCGAAGGCGGCUCUCUGGACAGAUACUGACGCUGAGGCGCGAAAGCGUGGGAAGCAAACAGG